rnacentral:rRNA from 1 species
UACGUAGGGUGCGAGCGUUGUCCGGAAUUAUUGGGCGUAAAGAGCUUGUAGGCGGUUUGUCGCGACUGCCGUGAAAAUCCGGGGCUCAACCCCGGACUUGCGGUGGGUACGGGCAGACUAGAGUGUGGUAGGGGAGACUGGAAUUCCUGGUGUAGCGGUGAAAUGCGCAGAUAUCAGGAGGAACACCGAUGGCGAAGGCAGGUCUCUGGGCCACUACUGACGCUGAGAAGCGAAAGCAUGGGGAGCGAACAGG